rnacentral:rRNA from 1 species
AGUGAACGCUGGCGGUAGGCCUAACACAUGCAAGUCGAACGGCAGCACAGUAAGAGCUUGCUCUUACGGGUGGCGAGUGGCGGACGGGUGAGGAAUACAUCGGAAUCUACUUUUUCGUGGGGGAUAACGUAGGGAAACUUACGCUAAUACCGCAUACGACCUACGGGUGAAAGCAGGGGAUCUUCGGACCUUGCGCGAUUGAAUGAGCCGAUGUCGGAUUAGCUAGUUGGCGGGGUAAAGGCCCACCAAGGCGACGAUCCGUAGCUGGUCUGAGAGGAUGAUCAGCCACACUGGAACUGAGACACGGUCCAGACUCCCACGGGAGGCAGCAGUGGGGAAUUUUGGACAAUGGGCGCAAGCCUGAUCCAGCCAUACCGCGUGGGUGAAGAAGGCCUUCGGGUUGUAAAGCCCUUUUGUUGGGAAAGAAAAGCAGCAGGUUAAUACCCCGCUGUUCUGACGGUACCAAAAGAAUAAGCACCGGCUAACUUCGUG